CUAUAGGUUGGUAUGUACCCAAUUGUGACUAAACCAAAAGAAACAAAUCUGGAAACUGAAGUAUCAAUACGUGAAAAGCGUUCUUUUGGUAUUGGGAGUGCCAGUUGUCUUUGUUUCAUGAACUACUUCUCCGUAAUAGCAUGCAGCCAUCUUCAAGAGGUGAGAAUUUCACUUAGCGACUUAAACAGAAGUGUUAUCUCAAGAUAAUAUAAUAUCUGGAGGUAAAACAGCAUCCCCAGGAUAAACAGGAUUACUCAAAGUUAUU
rnacentral:lncRNA from 1 species